rnacentral:rRNA from 1 species
GGCUCAGAGUGAACGCUGGCGGCGUGCCUAAUACAUGCAAGUCGAACGAUGAAGCUUCUAGCUUGCUAGAAUGCUGAUUAGUGGCGCACGGGUGAGUAACGCAUAGGUCAUGUGCCUCUUAGUUUGGGAUAGCCAUUGGAAACGAUGAUUAAUACCAGAUACUCCCUACGGGGGAAAGAUUUAUCGCUAAGAGAUCAGCCUAUGUCCUAUCAGCUUGUUGGUAAGGUAAUGGCUUACCAAGGCUAUGACGGGUAUCCGGCCUGAGAGGGUGAACGGACACACUGGAACUGAGACACGGUCCAGACUCCUACGGGAGGCAGCAGUAGGGAAUAUUGCUCAAUGGGGGAAACCCUGAAGCAGCAACGCCGCGUGGAGGAUGAAGGUUUUAGGAUUGUAAACUCCUUUUGUUAGAGAAGAUAAUGACGGUAUCUAACGAAUAAGCACCGGCUAACUCCGUGCCAGCAGCCGCGGUAAUACGGAGGGUGCAAGCGUUACUCGGAAUCACUGGGCGUAAAGAGCGCGUAGGCGGGAUAGUCAGUCAGGUGUGAAAUCCUAUGGCUUAACCAUAGAACUGCAUUUGAAACUACUAUUCUAGAGUGUGGGAGAGGUAGGUGGAAUUCUUGGUGUAGGGGUAAAAUCCGUAGAGAUCAAGAGGAAUACUCAUUGCGAAGGCGACCUGCUGGAACAUUACUGACGCUGAUUGUGCGAAAGCGUGGGGAGCAAACAGGAUUAGAUACCCUGGUAGUCCACGCCCUAAACGAUGGAUGCUAGUUGUUGGAGGGCUUAGUCUCUCCAGUAAUGCAGCUAACGCAUUAAGCAUCCCGCCUGGGGAGUACGGUCGCAAGAUUAAAACUCAAAGGAAUAGACGGGGACCCGCACAAGCGGUGGAGCAUGUGGUUUAAUUCGAAGAUACACGAAGAACCUUACCUAGGCUUGACAUUGAGAGAAUCCGCUAGAAAUAGUGGAGUGUCUAGCUUGCUAGACCUUGAAAACAGGUGCUGCACGGCUGUCGUCAGCUCGUGUCGUGAGAUGUUGGGUUAAGUCCCGCAACGAGCGCAACCCCCUUUCUUAGUUGCUAACAGGUCAUGCUGAGAACUCUAAGGAUACUGCCUCCGUAAGGAGGAGGAAGGUGGGGACGACGUCAAGUCAUCAUGGCCCUUACGCCUAGGGCUACACACGUGCUACAAUGGGGUGCACAAAGAGAAGCAAUACUGCGAAGUGGAGCCAAUCUUCAAAACGCCUCUCAGUUCGGAUUGUAGGCUGCAACUCGCCUGCAUGAAGCUGGAAUCGCUAGUAAUCGCAAAUCAGCCAUGUUGCGGUGAAUACGUUCCCGGGUCUUGUACUCACCGCCCGUCACACCAUGGGAGUUGUGUUUGCCUUAAGUCAGGAUGCUAAAUUGGCUACUGCCCACGGCACACACAGCGACUGGGGUGAAGUCGUAACAAGGUAACCGUA